GGAGCAAUUAUAGAUAUAAGGGGCAAUAGGCAGCAAUCCAAAAUUGGGAGCCACAAAAUGGAAGGUGACAAUGGAACGUGCGGCUCUCACUUUCCAAUCUGUCUUGGGGAUGACUGAACCAUCAUCUGCACUAACAGUGUCACCUUUUUGAGCUUUCUGUUCCUUCCUCAAUUCUCCGACUAUGAUAUGAGACAAUAUGGGUAAAGCCAAAUUAUAUGCUUUUCUUUUCAUUUUUUUCCUCAAAAGCAAACACAUCCAUGUGGUUGCUAUGCAAUUAUUCUCCAUGGUAGCCUCGGGACACCUUCCAAAAUCUUCUGCUUUUAAUCUAUUGUAUCGCUCAGAAAUCUUGAUGAACACCAACUGUUUGCUGUGUCAGAUAAUGAGGAUGGCUAGUGGAAGCCAAAAAUUCUGCUUUCUAAUAAGAAUCAACAGGAUUGUAUCAUUAUAUUCUUAUUCAUACACAAAAUUUAUUGUAUAACUUUGUUUAAUAGAUUCAUGUAAGUUGUUUUUUUAUUUAGAUUUUAUUCAUUUUAAUUUUUUUAUUCUAUUAUUUUUAAGAUUAUCAUUUUU
rnacentral:lncRNA from 1 species